rnacentral:tRNA from 1 species
CGGGGCGUAGCGCAGUCUGGUAGCGCACCACACUGGGGGUGUGGUGGUCACAGGUUUAAAUCCUGUCGUCCCGACCA